CAGAGAACAUCCUCUGCUCCGUGGCCCUCCCUGCUGGGGAAGUAGAUAGAAGGGAUGUGUGGGGGCUCAACUAGGCUCUUUUAGGAACAUUCCGGCACAUCCACGAGACCCUAAGGGAGACAGACUGCAUUCCGGGAGCCCAUCACAGGCGUACGGGGCCCUUCGGGGCUCAAUCCGUGCAUGGUAAGGUCGCUGAGGUCUCAGCUGGCUUCAGAACCCAGAUGGAAUGGUGCCUGGGUCCAGGAUUAUGGUCACCCUGCAGUGCAGUGAGUUAUACAAAGGGUAGGCCGAGCCUUAACCCAGCUUGAAGAGGACCCAGCACAAGGCUCAGCUUCCUGAGGUUCCAACGCUUUUCAGAUGGCCCUGUCUACCUUAUCGCGCUCAGCCAGUGGAUUCCUGCACGGCCAUAGCAGCCAAGCCUUGAUACUGGUAGUCACUGUGUGGACUCCACCAUGUUCUUCACCAGAUGGCACCAGGUAAUUUACAGAAGACAGAGCUUUAUUUCCCUAAGUUCUGGAGGCCAGGAAGUCCAAGACUGCGGUGCUAACAGCGCCUGUCCCGAAGGAACUGCAUCACAGUGUCAAGGAGACAUUGCAUUUGCAUGUCUCCCACACUUCUACUCACAAGAGCCCAGAGGGGUCCACUACGGAGGGAUGAUAAGGAAAAGGGGUGUAGACGCUCAAGACAAGGUUAUUCCACUGUGAAACGGAUUCUGUCCUGUGGCAGCACCGUCGGGGCCAAAGGACAGUGAGCUCUUCAGACACCAGGCGGCAAGGACCACACUGCUCACUGGGGUGACAUGAACCAGGGGGGCGCCCUCUUCAUCUCUGACAGGUGUAUUCCCGCCCUUGUCAGAGGUCACUGAAAUCCGAAGUUUUGGUCCCAUUCUCCAGAACGUCAUGGCUUCAAUGUACUUAUUUAAAUUUACAGGGAAAGAUUAAUGUUUUUACUGCACAAAACUUCCUGCCCCAAAAUCAGAACUUCACUGCUCCCACGCUGCUCCAGUGCCUGCUUGUUCCCCGUGUGUCAGAGGUGGUGACCGCUGGGAGCUGACAGAUCGGGCACACUGCACAAUACAACAGCGGCCUUGCCCUGCCCUCCCUGAGCUCUGCAUGGAGCAGGAGGCAGAUGUCACAAAACUGGCACCCAGACAGCCAGAGUUACUGCAGUGGGAGGAGGAGGGCAGACCUGGGCUUCUCCAGAGACCGUUCAGGCACUGCCACCCCUGUGCAUGACCAGUGUUUGCAAAAUGACUUUUCAAGGGAGGAAUUUUUCACCUUUGCUUUUCUUUAGUGUUCAAAUGCUCUGUCGCGUCCACAUUGUCCUUUUUAUAAAAGAAAAGGGCGGAGGAUUCAAAAUAAAAGA